GCAGAGUCUGGACAUUACUCUCAGGCCAACGAGGUGGGCAGGCCUGCUGCUAGGUGACCGAGUCCUCUUUGGCGGUUUUAAUUUCCCCAGCAACUUGCUCGCCUUCUGCUGUAGCUGAAUCUGGCGCGUAAGAUUCCUGGCGGCCCAGGCCCACACCAAGGGUUAAUGUGAGAUGGCACAGCAUAGGAGACUGAAGUGUGAAAGAAGUCAUAAGAAGGCUUCCUGAGGACUUUGAGGCAACAGAGUGUUGCGUUAAGACCUGACCAUGAGGCAUCAGGCCAUGCCUGCGGAGCCGUGGACAAACAUGAAGCAGUAGAACAGGGAGAACAUGCAGAAGAGAAACCGAGUCGGUGGAUGUGGGCGAGAAGAAACCUGACAACUCACCUGUUUCCAGAAGAGUCAGUUGAGCCAAGAUGGAAGUGAGGGGUUUGUCAGGUAGAGUAAAAGGCAUCAAGGUGGUUUCACAUCGAUGGCUGGACAUUUCACAUUGAUGGAGAUGUGGGAGAUGGAAGCUGGAAGGUACAUGUCCUAGUGAGCUGCUUGCACUUCAUGCUGUGUAGAGAAAGUAGUGUUAAUAGCUUUAAGAAAGUGAAGAUGUUGGGUACAGUGCGGAAUGAAUAUUUAAUGAUUCACAAUAUGUAACUGCCAGUUGACUUUAAAAAAAAAACGUUUAUAAUAACCUAUCCUCCUCCUAACAAUUCAAAGCCCUGGGCACGGCAUCCCUGCACCAAGCCCUUUUCACUGAAAGCAGCCUUUGAGAUUUUGGUUGGAGAAAAGAUUCCUGCUCAGAGCUAUACUUCUUUGAGUAAACAUUUUUUUUCACCUGUUUUGCCCUCAGCCUGUGUGCCUAUUUUUAUUUUCAUGGCUUUUCCCUUGUUUGAUAUUUUUUUUCUUGCCCUCCCUCCAAAUUUUGGUCAGUUCUUAUCUGUGUGUAUGAGUUCUUUAUAUAUUUAGAUAAGAUUCUUCUUUCUUAAACUUGCUGAAAUUA
rnacentral:lncRNA from 1 species